rnacentral:rRNA from 1 species
UACAGAGGGUGCGAGCGUUGUUCGGAAUUACUGGGCGUAAAGCGCGCGCAGGCGGUCUUCCAAGUCAGUGGUGAAAGCCUGGAGCUCAACUCCAGAACUGCCAUUGAAACUGUGAGACUUGAGUACGAGAGAGGUGAGUGGAAUUCCCAGUGUAGAGGUGAAAUUCGUAGAUAUUGGGAAGAACACCAGUGGCGAAGGCGGCUCACUGGCUCGUAACUGACGCUCAGGCGCGACAGCGUGGGGAUCAAACAGG